UACAGAGGUCCCAAGCGUUGUUCGGAUUCACUGGGCGUAAAGGGUGCGCAGGUGGCAUGGUAAGUUUGGUGUGAAAGCUUCGGGCUUAACCCGGAAAUGGCAUUGAAUACUACUGUGCUGGAGGAUUGGAGGGGGGACUGGAAUUCUUGGUGUAGCAGUGAAAUGCGUAGAUAUCAAGAGGAACACCAGUGGCGAAGGCGAGUCCCUGGACAAUUCCUGACACUGAGGCACGAAAGCCAAGAGAGCAAACAGG
rnacentral:rRNA from 1 species